ensembl:lncRNA
AUCGGGCAGCUGAGCUGUGCCCCACACAGCACCAUGAAGCUGGGGCUGCUCUGCGCCCUCGCCAUGGCCCUCCUGGCCAUGGCCAUGGCUGACCUCAAAGACUCCAAGAAGGGAAAAAUGCUCACAUGGAACAGAGAGGCAGGGACGCGCGGCGGGGGCCGGCGCCGACCACACCAGCUGUGCUCAGGGUGUUUCUCUGUGCUGAGUGAGGACAGGAAAGGAGGAGCAGCGGUGGCCAAGCACAGCCCUGCGCCAUGAUGGAGCUGGGGGUCCCACCACCCCCUGACUGCACCACAGCCCUGAGGGGAGCCAGGGGGUCCUGCUGUGCCUCCAGCAUGAUGGGGCUGCCCAGCUGCCCCAGAGUGCUCCUGGGGGGCAGCACCCCCACCUGCCACACGAAGCUGCCAAAUAAAGCCACCAAACCAG